UGACAUGGGGUAAAUUGGGAUCCUGGGGUAAAUUGGGACAAACCUGCGGAAGAUUCUCAAAGUACCUGUAGCACGGAAUCUACCUAAUUUUGUUUAUGUUAAUAUUUAUCAAUGUAUAGAAGAAAAACCAAGUUAACUAUGGAAGUACUAAAUAUUAGUUAAGUUGGUCCCAAAAAUUCGUCAAAUUAAAUUGAAAAUAGUGGUUGAAAAGUGCGUUUUAAAACAGCUUAAAGAACUUUUAAAAAAAGUAAUAUUAUCGUUGUUUUUUCAAUAAGAUCACAGUUUAUAUAAGUUUUUAAUACACCUGGAAAUACCACAACAAACGAAUCUAUUCACGCGUCGAAUCAUGAUUUUGUUAACAUUCAAAACGCACACACAAAUAAAAACAGGCCUCAGAUUUUAAAUGUAACAUUAAUUAAAAAUCCGAGAUAUCCAAUUAUGAAGUUGUGAUUUUUAAGGAAAUUAAAUAAUAAUUUUCUAAAAUAUAA